AUGGGAUUAGCUAGUAAGUGGGGUAACCGCUCACCUAGGCGACGAUCCCCUAGUGGUCUGAGAGGAUGACCGGCCACACUGGAAACUGAGACACGGUCCAGACUCCUACGGGAGCCACCAGAGGGGAAUAUUGCACAAUGGGCGCAAGCCUGAUGCAGCCAUGCCGCGUGUAUGAAGAAGGCCUUCGGGUUGUAAAGUACUUUCAGCGAGGAGGAAGGUGGUGAGCUUAAUACGCUCAUCGAUUGACGUUACUCGCAGAAGAAGCACCGGCUAACUCCGUGCCAGCAGCCGCGGUAAUACGGAGGGUGCAAGCGUUAAUCGGAAUUACUGGGCGUAAAGCGCACGCAGGCGGUCUGUCAAGUCGGAUGUGAAAUCCCCGGGCUCAACCUGGGAACUGCAUCCGAAACUGGCAGGCUUGGGUCUCGUAGAGGGGGGUAGAAUUCCAGGUGUAGCGGUGAAAUGCGUAGAGAUCUGGAGGAAUACCGGUGGCGAAGACGGCCCACUGG
rnacentral:rRNA from 1 species